AUCUUAACUGGCGAUGCUCGCAGAAAGAAUAAAUCAGCGUAGUGGUAUUGGAGCUGCUGUGAUUUAUACAGCUGAAAUUCUUGUGUCUGUAUUUUCAGUUUGCUUCCAUAAUUUAUUGACUUUUCUUCCUUUUGGCUUGACUGUGCCUUCUUCUAAGUAUCGCACUGCCACUUUGACUUCAUAGAAUUUCAUCACAAAAAAGAAAGUCACUUACUCUUGAGGAGCCAUUUGAUGCCUAAGAAGGCUUUUAUAUCCAUGUUGCUAUUCUGGGAUAAGAACCAUGGUGUUCUGGAGGAUAUUACAAUCUAAAGAACAUUUAUACAGCAAGUAUUUCAUUGUCAAGUAUCACCUGUUACUAAGCCUUCCCAUGUGAGAGUUUCAGAUCACAAAAAGGUGCUGUUGCCUGUCCUCCUCAGGACCUCGGGGGUGAAUCCCCACCGGUGGUUUUGGGAUCCUGCUUGCUCCAGAGAAGGCAUGUGUGGCUUUUCCUGCUGCUUGCAGACGGCAGCUUCAGAUCUCUCAUGGGCAAAAGAAGAGGGAGCUUGGCAUGAUAGUGGGACACGGCAGGAGGCUAGAGGCCCAGGGGCCAGGGCUGGGUUUUGGUUUCUGUUAACAUGUGGGUUGCAAGCCCCACUGCUGUAGGUAGAUGCUUCUCACUUUUGGAUGGGAGGCGAAAUACUGAUUUUUUUUUCUGCUGAUGUUUCCCACUUGAAGGUCUUGCAGACCACGAGGUGGCAUCUUCUUCUCCUGAAUGAUGUACACUCCUCACCCCAGCCCCUGAGGUCCUUCCCGGGGCCUCGGGCUGUGCCUGGACCCACACAACCAUAUCCUUUCAAGAUGUUUAAGCCUCUUUUUAUUAAGUUUGCCCUAGUUCUUCUGAUACGGCUCUUGACCCUUUGUGGUUGAGUAUUAUAGCAGGAUAUUAAACUGACACCCUCUGUUACACGUUAAGAAAACAGCCAUGAAACUGGAGAGCUUGGCGGACACACCUUCUGCAGCUUCUCAGUGAGGGCAUCCUUUGAACACCAGACCACCCUCCUCCUGCUUGAGUACAAUCGGAUGCAAGUGGCCAGCCCCUACAGCGCCAGCCCCAUCACCUUCCCACAGGCAGAUGGUUUUCCCUUUGCCUUUGGAAUGUGCGGCAGUUGAAUCUCAGGGGCAUCGCUCUCAUGAGGGCAGUGAGAACUACAGGGGUAACCCAGUGCUCUUGAGCUGCCUCAGCGGGAACCCAGGAGCUGGUCUGUCCUACCAAGGGCUCUUUGUUUCUGCUAUUUUUCAGACGCAAAUAAUUAUAGGUGCAAUUUAAGUGACCUCAGUGCCUAACUACUUGACUUGAAGGCACAAUUAAGUGCCUAGACAUAUAAAUAGUCUAAAUUGGACCUUUCAGUUAAUGGAUAGAACAGCAAUAAGGGCUAGGUUAGGAAACUUUGACCUUCUACCUGAAAAUUAGCUAUACUUGUACACUUAAACUCCCUAACUGGUUGAAAUCUUACACGCCCUGGCUUCUAGUCAAACCUCUAAAUGUCAACUUUGCUGGCUAGGAGUACAUGUCCUCUGAGGACUGUUUAUUGCACAACAAAAUGCCCUUCUAAAAGGAUUAAUAUCAUGUUGUGUUUUUUUCUACUCAGUUAAAUGCAGCAAAGUGCAGAAGAAACUCUCCUUUGCCCUGCACUUUUUGCUGUGAGAUCACUUUGGAGGGGAUAUGCACCUGCCCUGUCUUGGUGGUGGGUGCACCAUUCUGGUGGUAUAGCCCAAGGAACAUCCUGGAGACGUGGAUGAGCCAGUUCUUGCUCAGGUGGUGGAUAAUAUGAGUGAGUAACCAUGAGAAAGUGGGAAAACAAAAAAAGAGAUCUGAACUCUGCAUUUAGAGCACGUGAAAAAAGACAACUGUCCUGGAUUUUGCAAGAUCAAAAGGGUACUUCAGGUGUGCCAGUGGCAAAAGCAAUUUCUUCUACUGGCAAAAUAAGAAAUGCAUUGUGAACCUUUGAACUCAGUAAUAAUCCACAAAAAUGCUUGCUGGGAAUUACUGUUGUUAUGAACUGUUGUAGCCAUCUGGAAACAUCUAGCUAUUGUUAAACAUGAUGUUUAUAUGACGUCAUAUGUACAUACGCCUCUACAAAGAAAGAAAUACAGUUUUCUGCACCAAUGAUUCUGUAUUUUGCAAAUUAACAUGGUCAUUUUCCAACCUUUUAUGAUUAAUGUAUACUUCCUUAACAAUCCUCCAACAAAAUUGCGAACUCUUU